GUGAACGCUGGCGGCGUGCCUAACACAUGCAAGUCGAACGAUGAUGGAGAGCUUGCUCUCCUGAUUAGUGGCGCACGGGUGAGUGAUGCAUAGAUAAUGUGCCCCUUAGUUCGGGAUAGCCACUGGAAACGGUGAUUAAUACCGGAUACUCCUUCUUGUUAUAAGACAAGUCGGGAAAGUUUUUCGCUAAGGGAUCAGUCUAUGUUCCAUCAGUUAGUUGGUGAGGUAAUGGCUCACCAAGACAAUGACGGAUAUCUGGUUUGAGAGGAUGAUCAGACACACUGGAACUGAGACACGGUCCAGACUCCUACGGGAGGCAGCAGUGAGGAAUAUUGCACAAUGGAGGAAACUCUGAUGCAGCAACGCCGCGUGGAGGAUGACGCAUUUCGGUGUGUAAACUCCUUUUAUUAGGGAAGAUUAUGACGGUACCUAAUGAAUAAGCACCGGCUAACUCCGUGCCAGCAGCCGCGGUAAUACGGAGGGUGCAAGCGUUACUCGGAAUCACUGGGCGUAAAGGGUGCGUAGGCUGGCUUUUAAGUCAGAUGUGAGAUCCAAUGGCUUAACCAUUGAACUGCAUUUGAAACUGAGAGCCUAGAGUUCAGAAGGGGCAGAUGGAAUUAGUGGUG
rnacentral:rRNA from 1 species